rnacentral:misc_RNA from 1 species
CUUGAGGUGGAUUUUCUUUUUGUUUACAGAUCGUUCCUUUCUUUUCAUAUAUUCCUUGCUUCCUCAGCAAACCUAGAUCAGAUCACUGACCUCUUCCUUUCCUUCCUUCCCAAUAUUAUAAGAGUGAGAGAGGUGUAGCUAUAGUUUGUGAAUCAAAUCAAAAAAUGGCAGACUGGGGGCCUGUGGUGAUAGCAGUUGUACUGUUUGUGCUGUUAAGUCCUGGAUUACUAUUCCAGUUGCCUGGAAAGGGGAGAAUUGUUGAGUUUGGGAAUAUGCAGACAAGUGGGAUUUCUAUACUGGUUCAUACCAUCAUCUUCUUUGCUCUUAUUACCAUCUUCCUUAUUGCCAUUGGUGUUCAUAUUUACACCGGAUAGCCAUGUUAAAUUGUAGCUCAUUCACUUUUCAAAGCUUGUUUAAUUUGUUGAUCUGUCUGAUGUAUUCUCUUGUAUUUUGUACCGCCCCUUUCUUAAUUGUAUUAGUUGCUGGUGUAUAAAUGGUCUUAGAACUC